rnacentral:ncRNA from 2 species
AACCAGGAAGCCGGUGCGAAUCCGGCACGGUCCCGCCACUGUGACCGGGCCCCUCCCCGCGCGGACGACCCCCAGGGCGACGCCGCACCGGAAGGGGCCCGGAAGCCAGGAACUG